AACUUUUAACAACGGAUCUCUUGGUUCUCGCAUCGAUGAAGAACGUAGCAAAGUGCGAUAACUAGUGUGAAUUGCAUAUUCAGUGAAUCAUCGAGUCUUUGAACGCAACUUGCGCUCAAUGGUAUUCCAUUGAGCACGCCUGUUUCAGUAUCAAAA
rnacentral:rRNA from 1 species